CCUACGGGUGGCAGCAGUGAGGAAUAUUGGUCAAUGGCCGGAAGGCUGAACCAGCCAUGCCGCGUGAAGGUCAGUGCCCUAUGGGCGUUAAACUUCUUUUGUGCGGGAGCAAUAAUGGUCACGUGUGGCCAGACGAGAGUACCGUAUGAAUAAGCAUCGGCUAACUCCGUGCCAGCAGCCGCGGUUAUACGGGGGAUGCAAGCGUUAUCCGGAUUUAUUGGGUUUAAAGGGUGUGUAGGGUGUGAGGUAAGUCAGCGGUGAAAUGCCCCCGCUCAACGGGGUGAAGUGCCAUUGAUAUUGGCUGGCUGGAAUGCGGAUGCCGUGGGAGGAAUGUGUGGUGUAGCGGUGAAAUGCAUAGAUAUCACACAGAACACCGAUUGCGAAGGCAUCUCACGAAUCCGCGAUUGACGCUGAUGCACGAAAGCGUGGGUAUCAAACAGGAUUAGAUACCCCAGUAGUC
rnacentral:rRNA from 1 species